CCUACGGGUGGCUGCCGUGGGGAAUAUUGGACAAUGGGGGGAACCCUGAUCCAGCGACGCCGCGUGAGUGACGAAGUAUUUCGGUAUGUAAAGCUCUAUCAGCAGGGACGAAAGAACUGCCGGUACCUGACUAAGAAGCCCCGGCUAACUAAGUGCCAGCAGCCGCGGUAAUACGUAGGGGGCAAGCGUUAUCCGGAUUUACUGGGUGUAAAGGGAGCGUAGACGGCGAUGCAAGUCUGAAGUGAACGGCGGGGGCUCAACCCCCGGACUGCUUUGGAAACUGUAUGGCUUGAGUGCAGGAGAGGUAAGUGGAAUGCCGAGUGUAGCGGUGAAAUGCGUAGAUAUUAGGAGGAACACCAGUGGCGAAGGCGGCUUACUGGACUGUAACUGACGUUGAGGCUCGAAAGCGUGGGGAGCAAACAGGAUUAGAUACCCUUGUAGUC
rnacentral:rRNA from 1 species